AACCGGAUUAGAUACCCUGGUAGUCCACGCCGUAAACGAUGUCGACUUGGAGGCUGUUCCCUUGAGGAGUGGCUUCCGGAGCUAACGCGUUAAGUCGACCGCCUGGGGAGUACGGCCGCAAGGUUAAAACUCAAAUGAAUUGACGGGGGCCCGCACAAGCGGUGGAGCAUGUGGUUUAAUUCGAUGCAACGCGAAGAACCUUACCUACUCUUGACAUCCAGAGAACUUUCCAGAGAUGGAUUGGUGCCUUCGGGAACUCUGAGACAGGUGCUGCAUGGCUGUCGUCAUCUCGUGUUGUGAAAUGUUGGGUUAAGUCCCGCAACGAGCGCAACCCUUAUCCUUUGUUGCCAGCGAUUCGGUCGGGAACUCAAAGGAGACUGCCGGUGAUAAACCGGAGGAAGGUGGGGAUGACGUCAAGUCAUCAUGGCCCUUACGAGUAGGGCUACACACGUGCUACAAUGGCGCAUACAAAGAGAAGCGACCUCGCGAGAGCAAGCGGACCUCAUAAAGUGCGUCGUAGUCCGGAUCGGAGUCUGCAACUCGACUCCGUGAAGUCGGAAUCGCUAGUAAUCGUGGAUCAGAAUGCCACGGUGAAUACGUUCCCGGGCCUUGUACACACCGCCCGUCACACCAUGGGAGUGGGUUGCAAAAGAAGUAGGUAGCUUAACCUUCGGGAGGGCGCUUACCACUUUGUGAUUCAUGACUGGGGUGAAGUCGUAACAAGGUAA
rnacentral:rRNA from 1 species